AAUAUUAGUCAAUGCUCGCAAGAGUGAACUAGCUAACUGAAAUCAAAGGUGUGUCACUUUUGAUAAGGUAAAGGAAAAUAAAUGAUAUUACUUUACUAUUAGUGUCGUCCAAGUACUCGUGCCAGAAGACUCGGUAAGGCGAGAGACGCAAACGUUAGUCGUCUUAAUCAGGCGUAAAGGGUUUGUAGGCGGCUUUAAGAAUGGAUUCUUUCUAAAUAACACUUACCUAUUUUUAGUUAAGCGCAAAUGAAAUAAAAAGUCAAUUAAAGCUAGAAUCAAGAAGAGGUUAAAUUAAAUAAUACUUGGUGUAAGAUUGGUAUCUUCAAAAAUCAAGCGGAAUACUAACGGCGAAGGCUUUUUUCCAAUAAUGAUUGACGCUGAGAAACUAAGGUGAGGACAGAAAAAAGGAUUAGAGACCCUCGUAUUCCUCACUGUCAACGAUGAAUGGUAGCUACUAGAAAAAAAUAGAUUCUAGAGGCGAUGUUAACACGUAAACCAUUCCGCCUUGUGAGUACGACUGCAAAGUUGAAAACAAAAAAAUUAGUCGGUUUCGGAGCAAACGAAGUGAAGCAUGUUAUUUAAU
rnacentral:rRNA from 1 species